rnacentral:rRNA from 1 species
GACGAACGCUGGCGGUGCGCUUAACACAUGCAAGUCGAACGGAAAGGCCUGCUUUCCCUUGUGGAUUGCGGGUACUCGAGUGGCGAACGGGUGAGUAACACGUGAGUGAUCUGCCCCCAACUUGGGUAUAAGCCUGGGAAACUGGGUCUAAUUCCCGAUAGGACUGCAGGGUGGUGCCUGUGGUGGAAAACGAUUUUCUAGUGGUUGGGGAUGAGCUCGCGGCCUAUCAGCUUGUUGGUGGGGUAAUGGCCUACCAAGGCGGCGACGGGUAGCCGGCCUGGGAGGGUGGACGGCCACAUUGGGACUGAGAUACGGCCCAGACUCCUACGGGAGGCAGCAGUGGGGAAUAUUGCACAAUGGGCGGAAGCCUGAUGCAGCGACGCCGCGUGGGGGAUGACGGCCUUCGGGUUGUAAACUCCUUUCGACCGCGAGGAAGCCACCUGGUUGGAAGGGUGGUGACGGUAGUGGUAGAAGAAGCACCGGCUAACUACGUG